rnacentral:rRNA from 1 species
GACCUGCGGAAGGAUCAUAGUAAUGGUCUUUGACGGGCUGUUUCCGUCUUCCUCGGGACGUUAAGGGGCUCUGGUCGAGGAUAAACGACCCCUCUGACAGAGGUAAAUCCGUCCUUGUGUUACCUCCUUACCGAGGCACACGUUAAAGAUCGUUCCGCAUUGUGAGUCUGACACCAGUUGUAAAAACAAUUACAUACCGGUAGCGCUGGAUCCCUUGGCACGUCAUUCGAUGAAGACCGUUGAAAAUUGCGAUAAAGUGAUGUGAUGCGCAAGUCCACCACUUAUACGUGAAUCAUCGAGUUGUUGAACGCACUGCACCGCGCCCUAACCCGGCUGCGGUAUGCCCCUUUGAGCGUCAUUGUAUCUCUUCGGGAGUCUUUUCUUCACAGAACAGACCCGAGUUCGAAGUCCUCGGUCUUUGGAUCGUGUUCUCUUAGAUGCGUCGCACCGAUCGCCGAUGGGUCACUCUAAUGCCUAAGCGUGGAGUCCCUCGGAGUCGAGACGUGCUUGACCGGGUGAUGAGCUCGCGUCCUCAAGAACCCGGUCCUCGGGGACGAGGGUCCUACAAGGCAUGCCUUCAAUCGGGUAGGACUACCCGCU